UGGAAGGAAGCGGGCGGAAAAAGAAGGGGGAGCACGUGUGCAACCGGCCUUUAUCUGGGGGAUAGAAUUUCGAAAGGAAGAUUAAUACCCCAUAAUAUACUCUAUGGCAUCGAUUCGGGAUUGAAACCUCCUGUUGAUCGAGAUGGGCACGAGCAAGAAUAGCAUAUUUGGUGAGGUAACGGCUCACCAAGCUCCCAUGAUCUUUAAGGGGCCUGACCAGGGUGAUCCCCCACACUGGUACUGAGACACGGACCAGACUCCUACGGGAGGCAGCAGUGAGGAAUAUUGGACAAUGGGUGAGAGCCUGAUCCAGCCAUCCCGCGUGAAGGACGACGGCCCUAUGGGUUGUAAACUUCUUUUGUAUAG
rnacentral:rRNA from 1 species